UACAGAGGGUGCAAGCGUUGUUCGGAAUUAUUGGGCGUAAAGCGCGUGUAGGCGGCAGUGCAAGUCAGGUGUGAAAGCCCUCGGCUCAACCGAGGAAGUGCGCCUGAAACUGCAUUGCUUGAGUACCGGAGAGGAUGGCGGAAUUCCCGAAGUAGAGGUGAAAUUCGUAGAUAUCGGGAGGAACACCGGUGGCGAAGGCGGCCAUCUGGACGGAUACUGACGCUGAGACGCGAAAGCGUGGGUAGCAAACAGG
rnacentral:rRNA from 1 species